GGCAUUGUCCCGGAUGAGGGACUGGGGCAGGUCCGCACCCUGCCAAUAGAUCGAGACGGUUCCGACGGGGUCGUUCCCGUCGAUGUUCC
rnacentral:tRNA from 1 species